GGAACACAAUUUCACUUCUAGCCCAAUCUGUGUCUCCUGAAUUGCAAUUCCUAAGACCCCAAUAAACACUUUGUCUUACUGCUUUACUGUCUGGUCUUUUGCCUCUUCUUGGUUGACAUUAAAUGGUGUCAGAAUAGAGUGGGGUACAACGCAACUUUCCCCUGCGUUCUGGCACUGCCAUGGAUUCAAGCAUGGUACCUGUAGGAUCCCUUUGUGUUCCAUCGUCUCCCCAACAGCCCAGGACCUCAUUGGACACAAUUGAAAACACUGGUUAUAUUACAAAAGCUUUGACUGGUAAUUUUGUGUCAUAUUUUCAAAUGUGACCAGGCUGCUUUGAGGAAUUGCAGUUUACUUUAAAGCCAACAGACUUGGAAAAAGACUGGCCGGGUACCAUAUCUACACUGUUCCCUUACAGGGUUCCUGACCUUGUGAAAAGAAAACUGAGUAAUGACCUACAGACAUGGUUAAUCAGUUAUACCCUUCUCCUGACAUACAGCUAAUCACCAUAGACUAAUGCAGACCUCCUUAUGAAACAGGCGUUUCUACCUCCAAGGGAAAAAGAUAACAAAUCUUUGGCUGACCAACUGAUGUUUAUCAGCAAUGCUUCCUCACAUCAAAUCUUUAUCAAAAUGAAGAAAUGUGAAAUGUGAUAUACAAAACAGUAUCACUUGGUUCAGAGCUCUAAAAUGGAGUCAAGAAGCCACUCUAUUACUACCUACACAACAUGAAACCCUGCAGGAAAAAAAAAAAGGAACAGGAACUUGCCUUGAACCUUUGAACUGGGCUAAACUACAAUGACCACAUCUUAGAAAGCAGCUGAAUUUCACCAGCACUGCAACUCCUGCAUAGCAACAACCAAUGUACCAUGGACUUAUGUACUAAGCCAGCCACCUCCACCAAUGAUAAUUCUUUCAAAACAACUUGUGCAAUCACUCUCGGCAUCCUUUGAAAAAUUCCUACUCUCCUUCCUGUCUUUGGAAAACAAUUUGGCUCUUAGCCAAAUCCGUGUCUCCCAAAUUGCAACUUUUAAGGCCUCAAAUGCCUAGUCUUACUGCAUUGCACUCUGGUGUUUUGCCCCUUCUUACUUGACAUAUUAUACUUACAUCUCCAUUUCUAGUUGUGUUGAUUUUUUUAUUUUUUUAUUUUUAUUUUUAUUUUUGGAUAGUGUCUCACUCUGUCACCCA
rnacentral:lncRNA from 1 species